rnacentral:rRNA from 1 species
UCAAGAAUAUUCCUCAAUGGCCGAAAGGCUGAAGGAGCGACGCCGCGUGCAGGAUGAAGGCCUUCGGGUCGUAAACUGCUUUUAUAUGGGACGAAUUCGUGACGGUACCAUAUGAAUAAGAGGUUGCUAACUCUGUGCCAGCAGCAGCGGUAAUACAGAGACCUCAAGCGUUAUCCGGAUUUAUUGGGCGUAAAGCGUCCGCAGGUGGCUUGGCCAGUCGGGGGUUAAAACUCAACGCUCAACGUUGGGACUGCCUCCGAUACUACUAAGCUAGAGGGUGGGAGAGGUAAGCGGAAUCCUCGGUGUAGUCGUAAUAAGCGUUGAUAUCGAGAAGAACACCAAAUGCGAAGGCAGCUUACUGGAACACACCUGACACUCAGGGACGAAAGCGUGGGGAGCAAACAGG